UAUAAACGUGACACUUUUUUUUUGCUCCCAUUUUUUCUGAGAUGAACUCAAAGAUCUAAAUUUUUUUCCGCAUACACAAUAUCACCAUUUCUCUCAACUAUUGUUCACAAAUCUGUCUAAAUCUGUGAUAGUGAGCACUUCUCCUUUGCUGAGAUAAUCCAUCCCACCUCACAGGUGUGCCAUAUCAAGAUGCUGAUUAGACACCAUGAUUAGUGCACAGGUGUGCCUUAGACUGCCCACAAUAAAAGGCCACUCUGAAAUGUACACUUUUGUUUUAUUGUGGGGGUCCAUUCCUCUUCAAUGGCUGUGUGAAGUUGCUGGACGUUGGCGGGAACUGGUACAUGUUGUCGUAUCUGCCGAUCCAGAGCAUCUUAAACAUGCUCAAUGUGUGACAUGUCCGGUGAGUAUGCUGGCCAUGCAAGAACUGGGACAUUUUCAGCUUCCAAGAAUUGUGUACAGAUCCUUGCAACAUGGGGCUGUGCAUUAUCCUGCUGCAACAUGACGUGAUGUUCUUGGAUGUAUGGCACAACAAUGGGCCUCAGGAUCUCGUCACGGUAUCUCUGUGCAUUCAAAAUGCCAUCAAUAUGUGCACAAUACAUUUCACUGCACAUUUCACUCUGUAUACCUGUGUUUGUGAUAAAUAAAGGUCUUGAAUCUUGAAUGAUGGCCCAUGGCUGCUAAAGAAGGUCCCUUGGUAAACAAGUCUGCUAUUUUUGCACAUUUGGCAACAUCUGCCUGAAAAGCCCGUCUUUUAUUUGGUCCACAAUAUCUGCAGUGCUCCCUUUUUUUUGUCUUGCACUCUCACACUUAAGAGAGGGGUUUUAAAAUUUGAUUAGAUCAUCCCAGUGUCAGAAAAAACAAAACAUGAACAAUAGGUUAAUCUAUCUGUUUUAUGGACCAGUCAGACAGCCAGUGCAGCCCCAAACCCAAGAUGUGAAGUGCCAAAACAGGCUUUUUGGUGCAGAGUGGAAACAAAAUAAUUGCCAAUCUCCCUAUUUCAAAUCUGUGUAUCAUAAAUGAUUUUAAAGCAUUUUUCUAUGACAAAAUAGGUGCAUAAAGUUGCUUAUAUGUCAACAGUUCACCCUGCUGGUGGUGUAAUGGUGUGACAAUGUUUUCUUGUCUCACUUUGGCUCUUAAACACCAGUCAAUAAUGGUCCAAAUGCCACAGCUGAUCUGAUUAGUCUUGCUGACCUUGUCCAUUCCUUUAUCACCACAGUUUACUGUCUUCUAAAGGCAUCUUCCAGCGAGAUAAGGCACCAUGUCACAAAGGAAAUGUCUCCUCAAACCGCUUUGACCUUUGGGACAUGGUAAUACAGGAGACUGGGAGCAUGAAAGUGUAGCUGCAAAUCUGGAAAAAUGUUGUUAUGCAAUCUUGUCAACAUUGAGCAGAAUCUUAAAGGACAUCCAUUCAUGCUUCCGUUAUCUAACUACCGCUUAAUUUUCUGUAGGGUCGCAGGGUUGGAGUCUAUCCCAGCUGACUCAGGGUGAAGACAGAGGUCGCCCUGAACAGACUGUGGGAGGAAGCCGGAGAACCCGGGGAGAACCCACACUGUGCAGGGAGAACAUGCACACUCCACACAGAAAGACCCCAGGCCGAGAUUUAAACCCAGGACCUUCUAACAGUGAGGUGAGAGUGCCAAUCAUCACAUCACCAUGCUACCCUCUCAAGGGAUGGUUUCUAGCAUUUUGUGGAAAGAUACCGAAAACUGAGGCUCUUCUGAAACCAACCGGGCACCCUAUUCAGUUUUAAUAUGAUGUUCCUGAUGUUCUGUGAGUCCGUAGUGUAUGCAUAUGUUUAACGUGAAUAUGCUUUCAAAAAUAACGUCAUGAUUAAGAAAAAAAGCUAAAUCACACCAAUAUUUGUUGUGACCACCCUCUGCCUUUAACACAACACCAGUUUACCUUGGGAUACUUGCAUACAGUUAUUGAGGCUACUGAUCAGGUAGGUUGUUCCAAGCAUCUAGGGGAAUUUACUGCAAGUACUUACUGAAUUCAGGCUGUCUCACUGUCUCCUGAUUCUUCUUGUAUUCUCAGACUGACUGCUUGAUGAUGAGAUCAGGAUAUCUGAGAGCUUUGGAUGUCUGUUUGGAUGCUUUGUGAUGCUGCAGAAUAAAUUUGAAACUGACUUUUUUAGUGUGCACACCUCUACAAGCAGUAGUUCAGGAGGGAGCACUGUUGUCUGAAGCUUGUGAAACCAGCAGGUGCAGUCAUAUGGAGUGGAGGGAUUCCAGCUCGAUCACAGUAGAGCAAUGAAUGAUGAUAAUACUUAACCUCAAAACAAUCACAGAAAUUACAGUGGAUUAAACUAAAACUGAUUUUGAUGUCUGUGGAGCUGAGAAGGUCAUGGCCUGUUUGGACAGUAGCCCAGAGUUUGGUGUGUGCAUAAAUCAACAACCACCACCAAUCAGGUGCUCCAUCACUCUGAAUAAUAAUCCUGGGUGGUGGUUCCUACAUGCAUCACCGCUACUUUAUCUCACAUUUUGCUCCAGUGCAACUUUCAGUGUUCAUAGAGGGAUGAACAGAUGGUGUUCUCGUCUCUUUUUUUCUCCUUAUCGCGCUGAUAAAACAAUCAUCAUGUUGUGGAAAAGAUGCGUGGUGAUAGCUAAGCAGUCUAGGUCAUGGCUUAUUCAGUUUGAAUCCAGGUCACAGUCUUUCCCGCAGUGUCAACCUGUCUCAUCAUGAGUUCCACCAUUUUCUGCUUUGUGCUGAUACUGAUUCUGACAUAAAAUAUUUCUAAACGUGCCUUUAUUUCUUUCAGCUGAUGUCCUUGUAAAUCAGAACUGACAACUUUACAAAGCAGUUCUGCCAGUAAAUCUGUAAUUUCUACUUGUGUUUUUUGUUUCAACAGUGGCCGUGUUUUUUUUUUCUCAAAUGCCUACAUUGGAAGCAAGGAUGAAUGGAAAUUAUAAUAUUUAAGUGUCAAAACAAUACAUUUUCUUUUCUACAGUAAUAUGUUGAGAGGCUGUCAUGACAGAUUGCAUUCACCUGUAUGUGUGGACACAACACAUCCUCCCUGAUGACCAUUAAACCCACAACUGCCUGGGUCACUGUUACAAUCAGAUUAAUGUCACAUGUUGAUGCCUUCAGGGUCAUUAAGGUUGCGAUGAUUUACAAUAUAAGGCAUCACAGUGUCCCAUUGCUACUGUCAGCAGAAUCCAAAACUAAUAUAUCAACAAGAAGAUAUAUUAUAUAUAUUAUAUUAUAUUGUCCUUAUCAUUGUUUUUAUUGUCUUCUGAUUGUGCACAUUGAGAUUUGUCCACAAAUGUAAUGUGCUUUAUAAAUAAAAUCCAUUAUUAAGAAGACAUGAUGAAUGUUUUUUGAGCUAUGUUGUUCAUGCUUCGUGUAUCUGAAUAACUGUUAGCAUAUUACGUUAGCAUACCGUACACCCAUUCAGCAUGUUGUUCUUUAGUCUAUUGUUGUUAUAACUUGCCUUUCAAGAUGAAAUGUCUGUUCUUGGUCUCAGAUUGUGUAAAAUAAAUUUCCAAAAAAAUGCGACUUAUAUUCCAGUGCGACUUAUAUAUACUGACAGUCAACAGAAACUUUGAGGUAGAAAUGUACGCAGAAUUCUACUUGUAGGGGGGUUGUAAUUAUUCAUUGUGGAUUUACUGAUGAUCUAGUGCCCUGGUAGUUGAGAUAAUGAUGAGUUGUCAUUUUGUCAUGAUUCAUUGCACAUGGGUUGGUCACUUUGCAAAAGUGAACCAAAUACACACCAAGCAAUACUCAGUGAGUAUCUGCACAAUUUGAGAAUGGGUUUUGAAGGCCUAUAUAAAGGCCCAAAAAAGGCCACCAUUGUUAGUCCAGUGAACAGCAUCAUGCCGCAUCUAUCACAUGAACAACGUCUCCGGGCACUGGGUAUGGUGUAGGCCGGUUUGAGCUACAGUGAUGUAGCCAGGCGUAUGGGCUGUUCCCAACCCACAAUCAAAAGCCUGGUCCAAAGCAUGCGCCGACGGAUUGCUGCCUGCAUCGAAGCAAAUGGAGGCCAUACUCGGUAUUGACUGUUGUGACUUUGUGUUUGGCAGGUGCCUUUUUCUUUUGUGAAAUUCUUUAUUUUGAAAUCAUUCUUGAAACUUUAGAUUUUUGUUUCUGUAUGCUAAUAUGCUAAACAAAUGAUUCAUAUGAAGAAAAUCCAGUUUCGGGCUUCAAAAUUAAAAAUUAUGUUGAAAAAUA